AUCACAGAGCCCCAGUAUGGAAUCACAAUGCUCCACUGUGAUGUCACAGGGCCCGAUUAUGAAAUCACAACGCUCCAUUGUGAUGUCACAGAGCAGAUUGUGAUGUCACAGAGCCCCUUUGUGACGUCACUGAGCCCCAUGAUGGAAUCACAAUGCUCCAUUGUGAUGUCACCGGGCCCGAUUAUGAAAUCACAAUGCCCCACUGUGAUGUCACAGAGCACAUUGUGACGUCACAGACCCCAUUGUGACGUCACAGAGCUGCAUUGUGACGUCACAGAGCCCCAGUAUGGAAUCACAAUGCUCCAUUGUGACGUCACAGACGGCAUUGUGAUGUCACAGAGCCCCAUUGUAACGUCACAGAGCCCCAUGAUGGAAUCACAAUGCUCCAUUGUGACAUCACAGACCCCAUUGUGACGUCACAGAGCCCCAUUGUGAAGUCACAGAACCCCACGAUGAAAUCACAAUGCUCCAUUGUGACGUCACAGGACCCCAUUGUGACGUCACAGAGCCCCAUUGUGAAGUCACAGAGUCGCCAUGAUGGUAUCACAAUGCUCCAUUGUGAUGUCACAGGCCCGAUUUGAAAUCACAAUGCCCAUUGUGUGUCACAGAGCACAUUGUGAUGUCACAGAGCCCCUUUGUGACAUCACAGAGCCCCAUUGUGACGUCACAGAGUCGCCAUGAUGGUAUCACAAUGCUCCAUUGUGAUGUCACAGGGCCCGAUUAUGAAAUCACAAUGCUCCAUUGUGAUGUCACAGAGCCCAUUGUGAUGUCACAGAGCCCCUUUGUGACGUCACUGAGCCCCAUGAUGGAAUCACAGCGCUCCAUUGUGACGUCACAGAACCCCAAUGUGACGUCCCAGAGUUGCCAUGAUGGAAUCACAGUGCCCCAUUCUGACGUCACAGACUCCAUUGUGAUGUCACAGAGCCCCUUUGUGACGUCACUGAGCCCCAUGAUGGAAUCACAAUGCUCCAUUGUGAUGACACCGGGCCCGAUUAUGAAAUCACAAUGCCCCACUGUGAUGUCACAGAGCACAUUGCGAUGUCACAGAGCCCCUUUCUGACGUCACAGAGCCCCAGUAUGGAAUCACAA
rnacentral:lncRNA from 7 species